AUUGAACGCUGGCGGCAUGCUUUACACAUGCAAGUCGAACGGCAGCGCGGGCUUCGGCCUGGCUGCGAGUGGCGAACGGGUGAGUAAUGCAUCGGAACGUGCCCAGUAGUGGUGGAUAGCCCGGCGAAAGCCGGAUUAAUACCGCAUACGACCUGAGGGUGAAAGCGGGGGACCGAAAGGCCUCGCGCUAUUGGAGCGGCCGAUGUCGGAUUAGCUAGUUGGUGGGGUAAAGGCUUACCAAGGCGACGAUCCGUAGCUGGUCUGAGAGGACGACCAGCCACACUGGAACUGAGACACGGCCAAGACGCCUAAGGGAGGCAGCAGUGGGGAAUGUUGGACAAUGGGGGCAAACCUGAUCCAGCCAUGCCGCGUGCGGGAAGAAGGCCUUCGGGUUGGAAACCGCUUUUGUUCGGGAAGAAAUCCUCUGGGCUAAUACCCCGGGGGGAUGACGGUACCGGAAGAAUAAGCACCGGCUAACUACGUG
rnacentral:rRNA from 1 species